CCUACGGGUGGCUGCAGUGAGGAAUAUUGGUCAAUGGGCGAGAGCCUGAACCAGCCAAGUCGCGUGAGGGAAGACGGUCCUACGGAUUGUAAACCUCUUUUGUCAGGGAGCAAGGAGCGCCACGCGUGGUUCGACGAUAGUACCUGAAGAAAAAGCAUCGGCUAACUCCGUGCCAACAGCCGCGGUAAUACGGAGGAUGCGCGCGGUAUUCGGAUUUAUUGGGUUUAAAGGGUGCGCAGGCGGAAGCGGCAAGUCCUCGGUAAAAUUGCGGGGCUCAACCUCGGCGAGCCGUUGAAACUGCUCGUCUAGAGUGGGCGAGAAGUAUGCGGAAUGCGUGGUGUAGCGGUGAAAUGCAUAGAUAUCACGCAGAACUCCGAUUGCGAAGGCAGCAUACCGGCGCCCAACUGACGCUCAUGCACGAAAGCGUGGGUAUCGAACAGGAUUAGAUACCCGUGUAGGC
rnacentral:rRNA from 1 species